rnacentral:rRNA from 1 species
UACGUAGGGUGCGAGCGUUGUCCGGAAUUAUUGGGCGUAAAGAGCUUGUAGGUGGUUUGUCGCGUCUGCUGUGAAAAUCCGAGGCUCAACCUCGGACUUGCAGUGGGUACGGGCAGACUAGAGUGUGGUAGGGGAGAAUGGAAUUCCCGGUGUAGCGGUGAAAUGCGCAGAUAUCGGGAGGAACACCGGUGGCGAAGGCGGCAUCCUGGACCAACACUGACACUGAGGAGCGAAAGCCAGGGGAGCAAACGGG